GAUGAACGCUGGCGGCGUGCCUAAUACAUGCAAGUCGAGCGAGAAGCUUGGAAAUGACGCUUCGGUUGAUUUUCCAAGCGGACAGCGGCGGACGGGUGAGUAACGCGUAGGCAACCUACCCCUGACAGAGGGAUAGCCAUUGGAAACGAUGAUUAAAACCUCAUGACACCGUAGUAGCACAUGCUACAUCGGUCAAAGAUUUAUCGGUCAGGGAUGGGCCUGCGUCUGAUUAACUGGUUGGUGAGGUAACGGCUCACCAAGGUGACGAUCAGUAGCCGACCUGAGAGGGUGAUCGGCCACAUUGGAACUGAGACACGGUCCAAACUUCUACGGAAGGCAGCAGUAGGGAAUCCUGCACAAUGGGCGAAAGCCUGAUGCAGCAACGCCGCGUGAAGGAUGAAGGCCUUCGGGUUGUAAACUUCUGUUCUAAGGGAAGAAAGAAAUGACGGUACCUUAGGAGCAAGCCCCGGCUAACUACGUGCCAGCAGCCGCGGUAAUACGUAGGGGGCAAGCGUUAUCCGGAAUUGUUGGGCGUAAAGAGUGCGUAGGUGGUUACCUAAGCGCAAGGUUUAAAUUAGAGGCUCAACCUCUACAUGCCUUGCGAACUGGGCUACUUGAGUGCAGGAGGGGAAAGCGGAAUUCCUAGUGUAGCGGUGAAAUGCGUAGAUAUUAGGAGGAACACCGGCGGCGAAGGCGGCUUUCUGGACUGUAACUGACACUGAGGCACGAAAGCGUGGGUAGCAAACAGG
rnacentral:rRNA from 1 species